CGCUGUGAUUGGCUGGAGUCUUGAUUAAACUAGGCGCUAGUUGCUAGCAUUAAUAAGAAGCUUUCUUCUUCGUCCUGCGGUGCCUCAUCUCAGUUCCAUAAGAAGGCGAAUAAAGACCUUCCAGACUCCGACGCAGCAGAUCGAGUUGCCAAAUGUCUGAUGUGGACGAGUACCGUUGCUUCGUUGGGAGCCUUUCGUGGUCCACGACUGAAGAAGACCUCAAGGAUGCGUUUGGGAAAUUUGGCCGUCUGACUGAGGCAAAGGUGGUUCUUGACAAGUUUUCUGGCCGAUCACGUGGCUUUGGCUUUGUGACCUUCGAUGACAAGAAGGUCAUGGAAGAAGCAAUUGUGGCGAUGAAUGGUGUGGAUCUGGAUGGAAGGAAUAUCACUGUUGAAAGAGCUCAGCCUCAAAGUUCAGGUAGGGACCAUGAUGGGGAUCGAGAUUACAGUCGUGGUGGUGGUGAGCGUGAUCGCUACCAUGGUGACUAUGGCCGUGGUCGCGAUCGCGGUCGUGAUUUUGAUGGUGGUCGUGGCGGUGGCGGUGAUUGCUUCAAAUGUGGCAAGCCUGGCCAUUUUGCGAGGGAAUGCCCUUCUGAUGAUGGUGGCAGGGGGGACAGGUACAGUAGCAGGGAUGACAGGUAUGGUGGAAGUAAUGGCAGCAGCCGCUAUGGGCCUGAUCGUGGUAGUGAUCGUUAUUCUGGGAGCCGUGAUGGAGGAAGCCGCAAUGGUGGGGGCAGUGAUCGAUACAACCGUGACAAGUCUGGUCCUUAUGAACGCCCCAGCCGAGGUGGAUACAAAUCUUGAUGGUGGGAGGUUGUCCCUCAGUCCUGUCAUGGUACUGGCCUUUGGUUCUGUUCUUUGUUUGAAUCACUUGCGGAUAUCAUUGGGAUCACGGUCUUGAUACCAAGGGUGCUGGAGAAUAAUUAUGGCUUGUUGUUUAGUCUGAUUGCGAUCUUGAGGGAGGAAGCAGCAUGCCGUGCUGGGGUAAUCAUCUGCUUGAAAUAUUCCUUCAGAAACUGUAAAAAGGAAAAGAGAGGGCAUUGGGCCUUUGUGUUGCUAUUGGUCUGCAUGGCUUAGUGCUAAUAUUUUGCUGUUUGACCUUGGUUCUGAGUGCUCGGUAGUACUUCUACGGCGCUGAUAUGUUUCUGUGCUGUAUUAAGCGAGGAUAAGAUCUCCAAACCUUUCGAUUCACUGGAGGACAUAUCUAGUGCUCCCAGCGGGUUAGAUGCUCCCGUGCUCCCGGCUUGCACGGUUGCACCUAACCUACUAGGAGCACUAGAUAUAUUCUGGAUUAAAGUGGACCUAUCCUGCUUUGAGAUGCCCGUUUGCUGAGUUCUGCCGUUCGUGUUCCUGUCAGAAUAUGUGUGUUGAGAAGUUCCAAUGCACCAAUAUCAUCUUUAUUUUUGGGUGUCUGGCAAGCAUCAUAUACUCAACUUUGUUCAACAUCUGUGCCUUUGAACUCCUAUAAUAUCCAUAAUGGUACCUGCAGAACCAGGAACAGGUGCUGUUUUGGGUGCUCAUACGUGCCACCGUAAUCGAAAUGUGCAGACCUUCAAUAAAAUUCUAGUCUGGCUGUUUCUUGAUUGUAGAAAAUGACCUUUGUAGCUGGAGGUUCUUGAAGAGGGAACUAAUUCUUUGGCAGCAAAAGAGUUCACAGUUAGAGGAAAUCACGCCUUUUUAUGUAUAGUAUGCACCAGGGAGGGUUGCAAAACAUAGAUUGUUGUUGUGUGACUUCAGCCGUGCUAUUUUGGCAAUGGAAUAUUGGUAGAUAUUGCCUUGAUGUUAGCUAUCAAAAUGGGUUGUGCAAAAAUUCACGUCCUUUUGUUUUUCUGUACCUAACCCUUAAUUUGGGGUUGUUUCUGUUAAUUGAUGUGGUCAGAUUUUUUUCCUUGAAGUUCUGUCCUGAAUCUUGCUGAUUCACUUGACAUUGUUUAUCUUGAAAUCUGUAUGUAAUUUCGCAGAUGCCUAUAAGCCUA